rnacentral:rRNA from 1 species
AGCGUUUUUAAUUAUUUUCAUUUAUCUUUAAAAUAAAUUAGUUUUAUAAUUGGUUAUUUUAAGUAUCAGAUUAGAAUUCAUGUUUGUUUUUGUUUUCAGACUUUUUACAAUUGUUUUUGUAUAUUAUUUAAGUACCUUUUGUAUCAUGAUCUUACUAGAAAAUAUAUUUAUUUCUAAUUCCCGAAAUCAGAAGAUCUACCAACACAACUGUUUUAUCGUAGUAAUGCUAAAAUAAAGUAUUGGUAGUAAUGAAAAUUUAUCCGAUUCUGAUAAUAGCUGGUUUUGAUUGAUUUUGUUUCACACUUUUUGCUUGUGCAUUACAGAUUAGCAGGUUACGCUUGCUAUUUAGGGAGUUUAAUUUAUUUUUAAUAAACUAUUAGAAUUUAAAGUAUUCUUUAAUUUGUGUCAUUAUAGCUAUGUCUAAUUUUAUAAUAAUUUUAUUUAUUACACUCCUUAUAAUCAAACUAAAGAACAAUCAAUUUCUUUAUAUAUAAUGUAAGAAUAAUUAAACUAUAAAUAACUAAGUUUUAUUAAUUUUAUACACUUAAGCAGAACUCGGCUAUUUUUCUGCACCUGUUUAUUAAAAACAUCGCCUCAUGAUUUAUGUGAGGUAUCUUCUGCCCACUGACAAAGUUAAAGGGCCGCAGUACUCUGACUGUGCAAAGGUAGCGUGAUUCUUGUUUUCUUAAUUGGAAAUCUGUUCAAAGAAUGAGAUGCAGAAAAUCUAUUGUUUAAGUGAAUGUUUAAAUUAAAAAUGCAGUGAAAAUUCUGUUAUUUUUCUAAAAGACGAGAAGACCCCACAAAACUUAAUUUUAUCCGGCUUUUACUGGUAUGAAAUUUAGAUGGGGACUCUUGAGUAUAUAAAUAACUCAGAGACCUAUAACUUUAUUUUAUGCGAAGCUACUUUGGGGAUAACAGGGUAACAUGUUUAGAGAGUUCUUAUCGAUAAACUUAGCUACUACCUCGAUGUUGGAUUAUUUUAUCAUAUGUAUUGUAGCAGUACAUAUAGUUAGUCUGUUCGACUAUUAAAAAAUUACAUGAUCUGAGUUUAAACCGUUGCAAGACAGGUUGGAUUUUAUCUUUAGACUUUAUUUUGGUUUUUUAGUACGAAAGGAAUUUAAACUUAUAAUAAUUUAUU